GACCCCGUCCGGUUCCCUCCGUCUGACCCUCUGAUUGAGGGAAAGAGCGAGAGCCGCCAGUCACAGCCGUUAGUUGCUGUGAAUACCAUCAUUACUGUCUUCUAGGAGGGGUCCUAUAAUACAUGGGUGUACCCCCCUCCCUCCCAACCACCCACCCCGCAGCCGUGCCCAUCUUGUUGGGCACUCUCGGGAGAGGGAGGGUCGGUGACCCUGGGCGUGGCACUAGGUAACUCGAGAGGGUGGAAGACCACGAGUGUCGAGGAAGCCCCCCGCUCUAGGCCACCAGGUAACUCAGGAGGGUGGAAGACCACGAGUGUCGAGGAAGCCCCCCCCGCUCUGGGCCUGGGCUACCCUGAACACCUCUCCCUCCUGAAAAGCUGUUGUGUUAUACCUUCUGAUUGCGUUGUGUUGUUGCUAAGUUUUUCUUUAUCCUUUUGUACUCUUUGUAACUGUUACAAAUAAAUUUCUUUUCUGUUUCAAUAAAAAAAAAAAAAAAAAAAAUAGUCCCUGUU